rnacentral:rRNA from 1 species
AAUGAACGUUGGCGGCGUGGAUUAGGCAUGCAAGUCGAGCGAGAAGGUUCCUUCGGGAACUGGACAGCGGCGAAAGGGAGAGUAACGAGUAGAUAUCUGCCCCGAGGACCGGGAUAGCGGCGGGAAACUGCCGGUAAUACCGGAUAAUAUCUCCGGAUCAAAGGUGUGAUUCCGCCUUGGGAUGAGUCUGCUUCCUAUUAUUGCUUGUUGGUGUGGUAAUGGCGCACCAAGGCUAAGAUGGGUACCGGGUGUGAGAGCAUGGCCCGGCUCACUGGGACUGAGACACUGCCCAGACACCUACGGGUGGCUGCAGUCGAGAAUCUUCGGCAAUGGGCGAAAGCCUGACCGAGCGACGCCGCGUGCGGGAUGAAGGCCUUCGGGUUGUAAACCGCUGUCAGUGGGGAGCAAAUCUCUUGAGGUUAUCCUCUUGAGUUGAGCUAUCUGCAGAGGAAGUACGGGCUAAGUUCGUG